UUGAUUGAUAAUAAUUUAUUAUGAGGUGUUAUAGUUCGCACUAUCAAAAAGACUUUAUUAUAAUUUUCAAUCAUUCAAGCUCGAAAACUCUUAUCUUGUAUAUAACAAAACAACUACGAGGGAAAACUUUUAUCAUUUGAAAAUUGCCAUAGCUCUUGGUGUUAUCAGAUUAUCAACUUGUUAACGUGUUUUCAAGUAUAAAAAAAAUAAAAUUGUGUGUGAUAGUAAAGUAAUAAGAAGUGAAAAUAAAACAUUAUGAAGACAAAGUGUUGUUGGGUGAAAAGUGAUACUUUAGAUCAAAAAGGGGAAAGUUUUGCUUUUUUUUUCCUAUGGCUGUCCACAUCUCCACCCACCAGCUCACCCAAAAUAAAUAAAAUAUCCUCCCUCUUUUGUCUUCAAUUGAGUCAAAAGACUCUUCUUGUUGUAUGAAAUUUUUUACUCACGGUAAAGAGAAAAAAAGAAGGAUAAUUUGAACUUUUUUUUAUGCCUUCAACUUUGGAUAUUAACGAGUAAACUCUUGAAUUUGUAUAAAGUUGAUGUUAUAACACAAACAGUUGCACAACAACUUAUGAUCAUCGGAUGCGAGAAGCUGGUAAAUGGCCGAAAUAAAACAAUAACAUACCAAAUAUAACCCGACAAGUGAAAUGUGUAUAUAGACCAUAUCACUACCUUGUGAGGUAGAGAGUUGCUUCCGAUAAACCCUCGACUCAAGUAAACAUAGAAAAACAAUACCUUAAAGAAAAGGAAAAUGGAAGAUAUUCCAAUUCUUCACAAUUCUAAAAUGUAUUCAUGAUAUGGUAGGCCCAAUUAAGCACUACAGUGAGCUGUUGAAAAAUAAACAAUUGCAUACAGCAAAAGUAAUUGAAUAUAAUUGCCUCAAUUAUUCAAUUAGUCUUUGUUUAUUCAAGUCAUAACUUUUGAAAAGAGAAGAGGACUGCUUCAUGUAGAUUAGCUGAAAAAUAGUUGUACUAAUUUCAAGCAAUCACUGAUCAUUCUUGUUUGCAAAUUACUCUCAACAUUCAACAGAUUUCAGAAUGGAGAUUGGCUUAGCAGUUGGUGCUGCAUUUCUCUUUUCAGCUUUUAAUGUUCUCUUUGAUAGGCUUGCUCCUCAUGUUGAUCUGCUCAACAUGUUCCGGAAGCAUAAGGAUCAUAUGGAAAACAUAUCAACUAUGCCGGAAGAUCUACAAAAACAGGUAUACCAUUUUAUAUUCAUGAGUAGCUAAAUUAAUUUAUUCCUGAAAAUCUUUUGUUAAUUAUAAUUGUUUAUCAUGCUUGAAUAAUGUUAUAAUAAUCAUCUUUAGAAAAUUUGCUACAGAAAUAUUCUUCGAAUAAGUAUGCCAAGACUAUGCCAUCCUAAGGUUGAAACUGGUAGGCAGAGAAGGCCGUUUAGGGGAGUAAACAAAGUUGAGGCGCUGUUAGGGUAACUAAUCAAAGAAGAAAGCUGUAGUAGUGACCAGACGAGAUGAUUAUUAAAUCAUUAUUUUUGCAUAAUAAGCAAGUAUAAUUUAUUAAGAGGUUGGAAGGAAUAAAAUUUUAGUGAAAAUAAAAAUGAUAAAAAUCGAAACUUACCUAUUAAACGAUGAUGUUGAUUAUAAGAUAUUACUACUCUAUAUACUAAAAAAUCUGAAUAUUGAUAUAAAAAGAGAAAUUUAUGGCAAAUUAUUAACAUAUGAGAUAAUAGAAAUAACAACCCAAGGUUGGACUAAGUUAACCAUACAAAGCAUACAGGAUGAACUUUAUUAUGAUAUGUAUGAUUUAUAUGAUGAUUUAGAUAUUGGAGAUUAAAUAUGACUGAAUAUUGGCUAAGGCGAUAUGGUAGAAAUUACAGGUUAAAAAAGAUUAAAUAUCCAGAUAAAUUAAGUAAGCUUUUUAAAAUAUUAUAUAAAAAUUAUGAUGGAUAAAACU